GCCUGGGGGGCUCAGUGGUUGAGCAUCUGCCUUUGACUCAGGGCGGUCCUGGGAUCGAGUCCCGAAUCAGGCU
rnacentral:tRNA from 1 species